GCUCCGGUAGCUCAAUUGGAUAGAGCCCUCGUGUGUCGUACGAUGAGAUGGGAGUUCGAAUCUCCCCCGGAGCG
rnacentral:tRNA from 1 species